ACAAGCCCCUUCAGUACAAACAUAACAAAGGUCAAAGUGCACAUUUACGGUAGCUUCAGACAGAUUCUGUGAUAUAUCUGUUUACAAGUCAGAGGGUGUACAUUCAGGUUGAUUGACUAUGGCGUCASAGGAGACAGGUGUGCCUUUGGGCUCAGCUGAGAACCUGGAGGACAGGAGAGCACAGGAGCAUKGAGCUACAGAGGGGCCAAAGACAGAGGUCCCAGCCAGUCCCAGCCAAGAUGGACCUCAGGUGACGGCAGGCCAGGAGGAGGGAGCAGGUGUCUGUCAGUUUCCUGUUGGGAAAGUGUCGUUUUGGAAACAAGGUGUCGUCGAUCUCACAGCACUCCAACAUUAGACGACCCAGAGGCUGUUUAUAGACCAGGAAAACAGGAAGGAGGAGAGAAAAAGAGGGAAAACUCAAGAAGAA